AUGGACAGGCUUACUUCCUCAUUCCUGCUGUUGCUUGUCCCCUCAUAUGUCUUGUCCCAGGUUACUCUGAAAGAGUCUGGCCCUGGGAUAUUGCAGCCCUCCCAGACGCUCAGUCUGACUUGCACUUUCUCUGGGUUUUCACUGAGCACUUCUGGUAUGGGUGUGAGCUGGAUUCGUCAGUCUUCAGGGAAGGGUCUGGAGUGGCUGGCAAACAUUUGGUGGAAUGAUGAUAAGGGAUACAACCCAUCUCUGAAGAGCCGGCUCACAGUCUCCAAGGACACCUCCAACACCCGAGCAUUCCUCAAGAUCACCAGUGUGGACACUGCAGAUACUGCCACAUACUACUGUGCCCGGAUAAUUUCACUUUAUUUUUCAAAAUAUGGCUGA